CCUACGGGUGGCAGCAGUGAGGAAUAUUGGGCAAUGGCCGUAAGGCUGAACCAGCAACGCCGCGUGAAGGAAGAAGGCUCUCUGGUUGGUAACCUUCUUUUAUAGGGGAGUACAGGUAUCCACGUGUGGUUAUUUGCCUGUACCCUAUGACUAAGCAUCGGCUAACGCCGUGCCAGCGGCCGCGGUAAUACGGGGGAGGCGUGCGUUAACCGGAUUUAUUGGGUGUAAGGGGAGCGCAGCUUGGAUGUUAAGUCAGCUGUGAAAGAUUGCGGCUCAACCAUGGAAUUGCCGUUUAAACUGGAUGCCUUGAGUGCGGGAGAGGUAGGCGGAAUGCGUGGUGUAGCGGUGAAAUGCAUAGAUAUCAGGCAGAACACCGGUGGCGAAGGCAGCUUACUAGGCCGUAACUGACACUGAGGCACGAAAGCGUGGGGAGCAAACAGGAUUAGAUACCCGAGUAGUC
rnacentral:rRNA from 1 species